rnacentral:rRNA from 1 species
GAAGUUGGAUUCGCUAGUAAUCGCGCAUCAGCCAUGGCGCGGUGAAUACGUUCCCGGGCCUUGUACACACCGCCCGUCAAGCCAUGGAAGCUGGGGGUGCCUGAAGUUCGUGACCGCAAGGAGCGACCUAGGGCAAAACCGGUGACUGGGGCUAAGUCGUAACAAGGUAUC